CUUGCCCCUAAAGGCAUUGCGGGUGUGGCUGCUGUGUCCCACGAGGGUCAGAAGGUGGCAGGGAGGGAAGAAGCUAUGUCUAUGCUCAGAGUUCUUACCUACGAACAUCUGAAUAGUGCCAUGGGGUCCGGAC